UGUAUUUUUAGCUCACCUGACCUGAAAGGUCAAGUGAGCUUUUCUCAUCACUUUGCGUCCGUCGUCCGUAAACUUUUACAAAAAUCUUCUCCUCUGAAACUACUGGGCCAAAUUUAACCAAACUUGGCCACAAUCAUCAUUGGGGUAUCUAGUUUUAAAAAUGUGUGGCGUGACCCGGUCAACCAACCAAGAUGGCCGCCACGGCUAAAAAUAGAACAUAGGGGUAAAAUGCAGUUUUUAGCUUAUAACUCAAAAACCAAAGCAUUAAGAGCAAAUCUGACCUGGGGUAAAAUUGUUCAUCAGGUCAAGAUCUAUCUGCCCUGAAAUUUUCAGAUGAAUCGGACAACCCGUUAUUGGGUUGCUGCCCCUGAAUUGGUAAUUUUAAGGAAAUUUUGCUGUUUUUGGUUAUUAUCUUGAAUAUUAUUAUAGAUAGAGAUAAACUGUAAACAGCAAUAAUGUUCAGCAAAGUAAGAUUUACAAAUAAGUCAAUAUAACCGAAAUGGUCAGUUGACCCCUUUAGGAGUAAUUGCCCUUUAUAGUCAAUUUUUAACCAUUUUUCGUAAAUCUUAGUAAUCUUUUACAAAAAUCUUCUCCUCUGAAACAACUGGGCCAAAUUAAACCAAACUUGGCCACAAUCAUCAUUGGGGUAUCUAGUUUAAAAAAUGUGUGGCGUGACCCGGCCAACCAACCAAGAUGGCGGCCACAGCUAAAAAUAAAACAUAGGGGUAAAAUGCAGUUUUUGGCUUAUAACUCAAAAACCAAAGCAUUUAGAGCAAAUCUGACAUGAAGUAAAAUUGUUUAUCAGGUCAAGAUCUAUCUGCCCUGAAAUUUUCAGAUGAAUCGGACAACCCGUUAUUGGGUUGCUGCCCCUGAAUUGGUAAUUUUAAGGAAAUUUUGCUGUUUUUGGUUAUUAUCUUGAAUAUUAUUAUAGAUAGAGAUAAACUGUAAACAGCAAUAAUGUUCAGCAAAGUAAGAUUUACAAAUAAGUCAAUAUAACCGAAAUGGUCAGUUGACCCCUUUAGGAGUAAUUGCCCUUUAUAGUCAAUUUUUAACCAUUUUUCGUAAAUCUUAGUAAUCUUUUACAAAAAUCUUCUCCUCUGAAACAACUGGGCCAAAUUAAACCAAACUUGGCCACAAUCAUCAUUUGGUUAUCUAGUUUUGAAAAUGUGUGGCGUGACCUGGUCAACCAACCAAGAUGGCCGCCACGCCUAAAAAUAGAACAUAGGGGUAAAAUUCAGUUUUUGGCUUUUAACUCAAAAACCAAAGCAUUUAAAGCAAAUCUGACAUGAAGUAAAAUUGUUUAUCAGGUCAAGAUCUAUCUGCCCUGAAAUUUUCAGAUGAAUCGGACAACCCGUUGUUGGGUUGCUGCCCCUGAAUUGGUAAUUUUAAGGUGAUUUUGCUGUUUUUGGUUAUUAUCUUGAAUAUUAUUAUAGAUAGAGAUAAACUGUAAAAAACAAUAAAUGUCGGCAAAGUAAGAUCUACAAAUAAGUCAACAUGACCGAAAUUGUCAGUUGACCCCUUUAGGAGUUAUUGCCCUUUAUAGUCAAUUUUUAACCAUUUUUUCGUAAAUCUUAGUAAUCUUUUACAAAAAUCUUCUCCUCUGAAACUACUGGGCCAAGUUAAUUAUAGAUAGAGAUAAUUGUAAGCAGGAAAAAUGUUCAGUAAAUUAAGAUGUACAAACACAUCACCAUCACCAAAACACAAUUUUGUCAUGAAUCCAUCUGCGUCCUUUGUUUAAUAUUCACAUAGACCAAGGUGAGCGACACAGGCUCUUUAGAGCCUCUAGUUUUUUUUUGUAUUAUAUAUCGCCAGGUAUUUUUAAAAUUCUUUGUAUACAUGUAUGAUCAUACAUGUUAUUUACCUUUAACAGUCAGUGAAUUAUUAUCUUGUUUCUAUAUUUUCAUAAUAACAUUUUUUUCAGGUGUAGCAGACGUUUGUAAUUAUUUGAUGAUAUGGUUGAAAGUGUAUAUUGAUUAGUUUGUGUAGGAUAUUUUGUAAGUGCAGUUGCAAUAUUUGUACAAGAGUAUACAUUAUUUAUUUAUGUAAAAUAUGAUGCAGUAUGUAUUUAUAAGGUAUAGUAUGUUGUAUUGAGUGGUUGCAAACUUUUUUUGGAAAAUUUGUGAAAUAAAACAUUAAAAAUCUAAUGAAGUUA